GACGAACGCUGGCGGCGUGCUUAACACAUGCAAGUCGAACGGAAAGGCCCUGCUUUUGUGGGGUGCUCGAGUGGCGAACGGGUGAGUAACACGUGAGUAACCUGCCCUUGACUUUGGGAUAACUUCAGGAAACUGGGGCUAAUACCGGAUAGGAGCUCCUGCUGCAUGGUGGGGGUUGGAAAGUUUCGGCGGUUGGGGAGGGACUCGCGGCUUAUCAGCUUGUUGGUGGGGUAGUGGCUUACCAAGGCUUUGACGGGUAGCCGGCCUGAGAGGGUGACCGGCCACAUUGGGACUGAGAUACGGCCCAGACUCCUCCGGGAGGCAGCAGUGGGGAAUAUUGCACAAUGGGCGGAAGCCUGAUGCAGCAACGCCGCGUGCGGGAUGACGGCCUUCGGGUUGUAACCCGCUUUCGCCUGUGACGAAGCGUGAGUGACGGUAAUGGGUAAAGAAGCACCGGCUAACUACGUG
rnacentral:rRNA from 1 species